GGGCGCGUAGCUCAGUGGGAGAGCAUCCGCUUCACACGCGGGGGGUCGCUGGUUCGAGCCCAGCCGUGCCCACCA
rnacentral:tRNA from 1 species